GUAGGGAAUAUUGGGCAAUGGGCGAAAGCCUGACCCAGCAACGCCGCGUGUACGAUGAAGGCCUUCGGGUCGUAAAGUACUUUUCUGAGAGAUGAGAAAGGACAGUAUCUCAGGAAUAAGUCUCGGCUAACUACGUGCCAGCAGCCGCGGUAAAACGUAGGAGACUAGCGUUAUCCGGAUUUACUGGGCGUAAAGCGCGUGCAGGCGGUUCGGCAAGUUGGAUGUGAAAGCUCCCGGCUCAACUGGGAGAGGUCGUUCAAUACUACCGAACUUGAGGGCAGCAGAGGAAGGUGGAAUUCCCGGUGUAGUGGUGAAAUGCGUAGAUAUCGGGAGGAACACCAGUGGCGAAGGCGGCCUUCUGGGCUGUUCCUGACGCUCAGACGCGAAAGCUAGGGUAGCGAACGGGAUUAGAUACCCGAGUAGUCC
rnacentral:rRNA from 1 species